rnacentral:lncRNA from 1 species
UCAACCUCUCUAUUCCAGUGUCUCAUCUCCAUAUUUAAGCUUAAUUGAUACUGCCUUGUUCAUGUUCUGUUGUCGAGACACCUGUGGAAGUUAUUCUUUCCAACAAUCUUGAUUGAUCUGUAAUUGAUAUCGUCGAUCGAUCGAAGUAGUAGUAUGUCGAUCCUUAUGACGUCGGUGGAUGUUUCGAUUGUGGUAACAAUCGAGCGCUUCUUUUUUCCUCUGGAAUCUCGUAGAUGAUUGCUAUCGAUCUCCUACUCCAUUCUGUCGCAACCAUGGUUGGGUGAUUCUACUUGGCAAAAUUGAUUCGACCUAUCACGAAGAAAAGAUUUAUCGAGUGUUUCUAUUCAAUUCAAUCCUAACAGACAAAAGCACAAACACCUAUCAUGCAAGUCGAGGCGUCAAUCCAACUCGACGGCCAACACAGCACCAACCACAGCUGACCAAAGCCAAAGCGUCGACGAUCGGCGCCCUCUCCCCGUCACCCUUGCCGAGCAGCGAGGCGAGGUUAGCGCAGCGUCGCAAUCGUUCCUUGUCAGAGAGAACGCGAUGUAUUUGGUCUCAGCGCUAUCUGACAUUUCUGGUCGACCUCCUCGGUGCUGUUGUCGGUUCUGAGAGGGAUGUGGUGUCCCUCCUGAAACGGAGGGAGUAAGCUUCAAGUCGAACACCCAUUUGCAUUACGCUCCCUGUUACUGAUGCCAACAACAUCACACUCCGCUUCAGCUUCUGCGAAUUCCUCCGAUCAAUAUCUUGUGUUCCCUUCCCUGUUUGUUAGUCAUCCCUCCUCGCUCAUAACUGUCGUAGGCCGCUCGCUCCACGAAAUCGUUGCCAAACG